UCCUACGGGAGGCAGCAGUGAGGAAUAUUGGUCAAUGGAGGCAACUCUGAACCAGCCAAGUAGCGUGCAGGACGACGGCCCUAUGGGUUGUAAACUGCUUUUAUAAGGGGAUAAAGGAUGCCACGUGUGGUGUUUUGCGUGUACCUUAUGAAUAAGGACCGGCUAAUUCCGUGCCAGCAGCCGCGGUAAUACGGAAGGUCCGGGCGUUAUCCGGAUUUAUUGGGUUUAAAGGGAGCGCAGGCGGGCGAUUAAGCGUGACGUGAAAUGCAGCGGCUCAACCGUAUGAAGUGCGUCGCGAACUGGUUGCCUUGAGUGAGUUCGACGUGCGCGGAAUUCGUGGUGUAGCGGUGAAAUGCUUAGAUAUCACGAAGAACUCCGAUUGCGAAGGCAGCGCACGAGGCCUUUACUGACGCUAAAGCUCGAAGGUGCGGGUAUCGAACAGGAUUAGAUACCCUGGUAGUCC
rnacentral:rRNA from 1 species